UUGGAGGGCAAGUCUGGUGCCAGCAGCCGCGGUAAUUCCAGCUCCAAUAGCGUAUAUUAAAGUUGUUGCAGUUAAAAAGCUCGUAGUUGAAUUUCGGGAUCAGCAGGUUGGUCUUGCCACUGGUAUGUACUAGCUUGCUGAUUCCUCCUUCUUGUAGAACCGUAAUGCCAUUAAUUUGGUGUUGCGGGGAAACAGGACUGUUACUUUGAAAAAAUUAGAGUGUUUAAAGCAGGCUAGCGCCUGAAUACAUUAGCAUGGAAUAAUGAAAUAGGACGUUCGAACCUAUUUUGUUGGUUUCUAGGAUUGACGUAAUGAUUAAUAGGGAUAGUUGGGGGCAUUAGUAUUCAAUUGUCAGAGGUGAAAUUCUUAGAUUUAUUGAAGACUGACUACUGCGAAAGCAUUUGCCAAGGAUGUUUUCAUUAAUCAAGAACGAAAGUUAGGGGAUCGAAGACGAUCAGAUACCGUCGUAGUCUUAACCAUAAACUAUGCCGACUAGGGAUCGGAUGAUGUUAAUUUUUUAAUGACUCAUUCGGCGCCUUACGGGAAAC
rnacentral:rRNA from 1 species